AUUGAACGCUGGCGGCAGGCCUAACACAUGCAAGUCGAGCGGAUGAGGGGAGCUUGCUCCUGGAUUCAGCGGCGGACGGGUGAGUAAUGCCUAGGAAUCUGCCUGGUAGUGGGGGAUAACGUCCGGAAACGGGCGCUAAUACCGCAUACGUCCUGAGGGAGAAAGUGGGGGAUCUUCGGACCUCACGCUAUCAGAUGAGCCUAGGUCGGAUUAGCUAGUUGGUGGGGUAAAGGCCUACCAAGGCGACGAUCCGUAACUGGUCUGAGAGGAUGACCAGUCACACUGGAACUGAGACACGGUCCAGACUCCUACGGGAGGCAGCAGUGGGGAAUAUUGGACAAUGGGCGAAAGCCUGAUCCAGCCAUGCCGCGUGUGUGAAGAAGGUCUUCGGAUUGUAAAGCACUUUAAGUUGGGAGGAAGGGCAGUAAGUUAAUACCUUGCUGUUUUGACGUUACCAACAGAAUAAGCACCGGCUAACUUCGUG
rnacentral:rRNA from 1 species